rnacentral:rRNA from 1 species
CUGUCUUAGAUAGCCAUGCACGUCUAAGUACAAACUAAAUGAUGGUGAAACUGCAAAUGGCUCAUUACAACGGUUAUGAUGUACCCGGGAGUUCCGAUGGAUAUUUCCAGUAACACUAGAACUAAUACAUGUCCCUGCGUUUAUUAGUUUCGCACAGUCCGUCGCUGAGUCAUGGUAAACAGUUGAUCGACUCGACGUCCCGGAACAGUUUCCGCCCCAUCAGCUUCGAUGGUUGGGUAUUGGCCUACCAUUGCAACAACGGGUAACGAGGAAUUAGGGUUUGAUUUCGGAGAGGGAGCCUGAGAAACGGCUACCACAUCUACGGAUGGCAGCAGGCGCGCAAAUUACCCAAUGCAGACACUGUGAGGUAGUGACGAGAAAUAAUAAAGCGGGACUUCUGUUUCGCUAUUAUAAUGAGGAAUAACCAAAGGUCAUUCCGAUUAGCAACUGAUGGGAAAGUCUGGUGCCAGCAGCCGCGGUAAUACCAGCGUCAGUAGCAU